AUUCUCGUCAUUCUGAUAAUUACACGAAUAUCAGGAACGAGUCUAAACAGGUUUGCACAGGUAUGGCACAAACUUAUUGAUGAAAUGCAUUAAGAUUUUUAUUUACUUUACUUUGCCAGACGAAAAUAAAAGAGGUACGAAAGAUACCAUAGGGACAGUCAAACUCAUCAAUCGAAAAUAAACUGACAACGCCAUAGCCAAAAAUUAAAAAGACAUACAGACAAACCAUAUGGCAAAAUGUAAUGUACUUUGCAUAUAUAGCGACUAUUUUGCCUUAUCAUGAUGACAGCCAUUACAAUAAGAUUAUAUAAGCCCCUUAAAUAAAAUGCUAAUAUGCCUAUCUAUGUCGAAUGAUGAAUUUGUUCGCAUAUAGGUAAAUUGUACAUGAUUUUAGGCUUCUGUCUGUGUACAAAUGGACAUUGUCUAUUCUGAAUUCUUUCGGCUUUUUGGUUUAAAAAUCGGAGGCGUAAACAUAGUAUAAUUGGUAUAUAAGAUCAUAAAAAAUUACGGAAAAUCGUAAAAUAGCCAGAUUCAAAACAGAAAUACAUAUGCAAGAAGAUAUUGCUCAUAUUUUGUUCACAUAUUGGGAAACACCUUGUAGGUUGAGUUUUAAAUUUUUAAUAACAUUUAACGUACCUGCUUUCUAAGAUUUCGGCCAAUUUGUUCUUUUUAAAACAUGAUGAUUUCAACCUUCCCAUUUCGUAAAAAGUCGAUUUUUAAGCAUUCCCUUAUAAUUACACAGCAUUUUUUGUACAAAUCUGCGAAAGGAAGUAUUUGAAGAUAGUACAUUAGUUUUAGAUACAUGACGGAAAAGGACUGGAGUAUCCGCAAAUCUGAAAUAAAUCAUAUUUUCAAUCUUAAGAUAAGGGAAGUAAUUUGCUCCAAAGGGACAAGUCACGUGGUGCAAAUCAUUUGAAUAAAGUACCUUUGAUUUUACCAAAUGCAAAAGUACACAUAUAACAACAUAAAAAACUAAAAAAUAAGCAACAUGAACCCCAUCAAAAAACUAGGGGUUAUUUUAGGUGCUCUGGAAUUGUAAGCAGAUCCUGCUCCAUAUGUGGCACCGGUCGUGCUGCUCAUUAUGUGUAACUAUGAAUGCUUUGUUAAUAUACAAAACAACCGUUCUGGGAGAUUUGAAAACCUUACAAAAUGAUUUACUUGCACAUUUUAAUAGAAAACUAAUCAAUCAGUUUACGAAUUAGUGACAUGCGUUGUGCAUUUUUUUUUACAAACAAAAACAGUAAGCAGCAACGGUAAUUUUGAAAGUGAAAACAAGGACGAACACGUUAAGCGUUUUACAAUACCUGUAUAAAUACAAUGGAAAAAGCAUAUUUUAAACAAUUUUCUUACGUUCUGAUUUGAACAAACAAAAAUAAGAUAACAAUACUAAAGUAAUCGUUGGAUUAAUCACAGCGAAUAUUUAAACAUUAUGCUUUCUUUAAAUUCAAAUGUCAUUUUGUCUUUUAUUUUUCUUUAUAAUUAUGGCGUUGUCAGUUAUUUUUUGACUUUUGUAUGUCCCUUUGGUAUUUUUUGCCUCUUUUUUUUAUUCAACAAAAUCAUUUAUAUUAUACAAAUGGCAUCCACUUAAGAUACAAUGCUCUUGACGUUGAAAAUGCAUAUAUCACUAGUUAUCAAUAUAACACACAGAGUUCCAAACAACAUUAUUAACAAUACAAAUUCAAUAUUGUUAGUAACAUAGUGUGUAAGUAACCUACUACGAUAUAUACGGCAUUAAUUCGACGCUCAAAUCCCAUAUAGAAUUUACCGACCCAGUAUAUAUCGAAAUAUGUCAUUAACAUACUAUGUAAUUAAUUUAGCUUACCGACUAUCUUUAUUUGUUGCUUUUAAACUAGAGUUGUCUCAUUUGCAAUGCGGAGCCUUGGCUCUCACCGAACAGCAAGCUAUAAAGGGCUCCCAAAAUGACUAGUGCAAAAACAUUCAAACGGGAAAACCAACGGUAUAAUCUAUGUAAAACAUGAGAAACUGAGAAACGAGAAACACGUAUGAACCACAUCAAGAAACGACAACUACUGAACAGCAGAUUUCUGACUUAGGAAAGGCAUCAAAAGCGUAUGCAUCAUAUAUAAUUCAUUGCAUUUUCUUUCGCCAUCAUCAACAAGUUUACUAUUUAACCUUUUCUGCAAAAAUGCUCGUCUUUGUUCAUUUUUUGUUAAGUUCGAAUUGUCUGUCUAACUUUUACUCAUGCAUUGUGAUAACUAUUUGUAAAUGUGAACAUUACAGAAAAACGUGUAUCUGAUCAAUCAGAAAAAAGUCGGUGUUCUUCUGGCAUAUCAGUGAUAUCGAGUGAAGUACCCUUCGUCAAAAAGCACACAUGACAGUUCCAUAAGUUGUAUCAGAAAGUGGAAUAGAAGAAUACUCUAACAUCAUAUAUCAAGAACUACUAAUAAUUUGCAAAACGAUAGUCCGGUUAAUUAAAAGAUAUAUCGAAUAAUGUAUUCAAAUUCUUCACAGAAGUUUUGUUUUAAUUAGUAUGUUUAUACUAUUAGUAGUUGCAAUCUGUGUGUCACAAUAUUACAAAAGAAACAUUACUCAAUGUUCAAAAGAUAAAUAUAUAAACAAAAUGCCAGACAACGGAUAGCAAAAGGUCUGAAUCUUGUCGAAAGACGUAUUUGUCAAAACAAUAUAUCUAUUUUACUUUUUGUUCUGAUGCGUUUCUCUCUUAGUGAGAUCACAAUUGAAGACACGUAGACUUUCUUCAUUGAAAUAAGUCGGUCAAUACAUGCGACUGGAAAUUUUGCGUGUUUUGAAUUGUUGAAUGCAUUGGCUUUCGAGACGUGAUAUCAGUCUUUAUGGAUAUAAAUCUUAAUGUUUUUCAUGUACUCCUCAUAAAAGAAAUGCAUUAAAUGUUCAACCAUUAAUUUGUCAGCAUGAAUAGUAAAAGUUUCUACAGGCUUUUA
rnacentral:lncRNA from 1 species